rfam:Otolemur garnettii contig052469, whole genome shotgun sequence.
GUGCUCACUUUAACAGAAUAUAUACUAAAAUUGGAACAAUGCAGAGAAGAUUAGCAUGAUCCCUGCAUAAGGAUGCGUGCAAGUUUGUGAAGUAGUUCAUAUUAAA